rnacentral:rRNA from 1 species
UGACUCUCGGCAACGGAUAUCUAGGCUCUUGCAUCGAUGAAGAACGUAGCGAAAUGCGAUACUUGGUGUGAAUUGCAGAAUCCCGUGAACCAUCGAGUCUUUGAACGCAAGUUGCGCCCGAAGCCAUUAGGCCGAGGGCACGUCUGCCUGGGUGUCACAG